rnacentral:rRNA from 1 species
GAUCAACGCUGGCGGCGCACAUAAGACAUGCAAGUUGAACGGACUUAAUCGAACUAUUUAUAUUUUGAAGCGGUUAGUGGCGGACUGGUGAGUAACGCGUAAGGAACCUGCCUAUUAGAGGGGAAUAACAGUGAGAAAUCAUUGCUAAUACCGCAUAUGCCAUAGAUAUCACAUGAUAACAGUGGGAAAGGAGCAAUCCGCUAAUAGAUGGCCUUGCGUCUGAUUAGAUAGUUGGUGGGGUAACGGCCUACCAAGUCGACGAUCAGUAGCCGGACUGAGAGGUUGAACGGCCACAUUGGGACUGAGAUACGGCCCAGACUCCUACGGGAGGCAGCAGUCGGGAAUAUUGCGCAAUGGAGGAAACUCUGACGCAGUGACGCCGCGUAUAGGAAGAAGGUUUUCGGAUUGUAAACUAUUGUCGUUAGGGAAGAGAAAGGACAGUACCUAAGGAGGAAGCUCCGGCUAACUACGUG